GUAUGCUAGACUUUUUUACAUAUGUAAGAAAGUAUACUUAUAUGUGAGAAAUUCUAGCAGAUGA
rnacentral:pre_miRNA from 1 species